rnacentral:tRNA from 1 species
AGGGUUGUUGCUCAGUGAUAGAGCACUUGCCUAGCAUGUGGGAGGCACUGGGUUCAAUCCCCAGCAUCACAU